rnacentral:lncRNA from 1 species
AUAAAAUUGAGAAUGGAAAUAGGGAAUGUGUCAAAGAGACAACAACCCGACCAAAUAAAAAACAACAGCAGAGGGUCACCAACAGGUCUUCAAUGUAGCGAGAAAUUCCCGCACCCGGAGGCGUCCUUCAGCUGGCCCCUAAACAAAUAUAUACUAGUCCAGUGAUAAUGAACGCCAUACUAAUUUCCAAAUUGUACACAAGAAACUAAAAUUAAAAUAAUACAAGACUUACAAAGGCCAGAGGCUCCUGACUUGGGACAGGCGCAAAAAUGCGGC